GGCAUAGUGUACUGUAGUUGUUUGAGCACUGGACUGCAACUCUAGAGACCAGGGUUCGAAUCUCAGCUCAGUCA